rnacentral:tRNA from 1 species
ACCUGGCUGGCUCAGUUGAUAGAGCAUGAGACUCCUGAUCUUGGGGUCAUGAGUUCGAACCCUACACUGGGUG